GUGGGGAAUCUUGCGCAAUGGGCGAAAGCCUGACGCAGCCAUGCCGCGUGAGUGAUGAAGGCCCUAGGGUUGUAAAGCUCUUUCACCGGUGAAGAUAAUGACGGUAACCGGAGAAGAAGCCCCGGCUAACUUCGUGCCAGCAGCCGCGGUAAUACGAAGGGGGCUAGCGUUGUUCGGAAUUACUGGGCGUAAAGCGCACGUAGGCGGACAUUUAAGUCAGGGGUGAAAUCCCAGAGCUCAACUCUGGAACUGCCUUCGAUACUGGGUGUCUUGAGUAUGGAAGAGGUAAGUGGAAUUCCGAGUGUAGAGGUGAAAUUCGUAGAUAUUCGGAGGAACACCAGUGGCGAAGGCGGCUUACUGGUCCAUUACUGACGCUGAGGUGCGAAAGCGUGGGGAGCAAACAGGAUUAGAAACCCUGGUAGUCC
rnacentral:rRNA from 1 species